rnacentral:piRNA from 1 species
UCCCUGAAGAAAGAGGUGGCCUCUGGGAGC